UAGGGAAUCUUCCACAAUGGACGCAAGUCUGAUGGAGCAACGCCGCGUGAGUGAAGAAGGUUUUCGGAUCGUAAAGCUCUGUUGUUGGUGAAGAAGGAUAGAGGCAGUAACUGGUCUUUAUUUGACGGUAAUCAACCAGAAAGUCACGGCUAACUACGUGCCAGCAGCCGCGGUAAUACGUAGGUGGCAAGCGUUGUCCGGAUUUAUUGGGCGUAAAGCGAGCGCAGGCGGAAUGAUAAGUCUGAUGUGAAAGCCACCGGCUCAACCGUGGAACUGCAUCGGAAACUGUCAUUCUUGAGUGCAGAAGAGGAGAGUGGAAUUCCAUGUGUAGCGGUGGAAUGAGUAGAUAUAUGGAAGAACACCAGUGGCGAAGGCGGCUCUCUGGUCUGCAACUGACGCUGAGGCUCGAAAGCAUGGGUAGCGAACAGG
rnacentral:rRNA from 1 species